ensembl:lncRNA
UGAACAUCCUUCCUUCUGGACCACGUCCCAGAAGGUUUUUCCCUCCACUGGAUUCCAUCAUCCCUCCUGCAGUUUGUAAGUGGAUUGGCCUUCUGGAUCUCCUGUGGUGCCUCGUGCCAUCUCCUCGCACUUACUGCCUCCCACCCUGCCAUCAGCCACGGGGACCACGUCGCUCUUCGGUUCAGCAUGGGAAGGCCUAGCAGGGGAGCCUGCGUAGUUGCACGAAGCAACAACGAUCCCUUAACGGACUUUCAUGUGUAAAGUUCCAAGAGUGAACUCGACGUUUAGUUUGGGUGUCGGGCGGCACCAGAAAAACACUUCUAUCCAGUCCAUUUGUAUCGCUGACAAGAGAACCUUCCGGAAGCCCACCGAGCGCCGCAGCGUGAGCUGCUUCACGAGGAGCCGUGAUGAGUCGAACCAGCAGCAGCUCUGAAGCCGGCCGGCCUGCAGCCAAACUACAGAAGCACGGCGACUUCUGCUGACACCCGUUUAAACUUUACACCGAGUCUGACACUGUGUGUGUGUGUGUGUGUCUAGAACACACAACAUGAGGCAAUGAUUG